rnacentral:misc_RNA from 1 species
UCACACCUCAAGCUCUAAGCUUGUUUUGAGCUAUCUUGUUCUUUUGAUGAACAGGCUUGAAAUGCAAGUGGCGAUAUCCAGUUUGGUGCCCAGCAUUAUAGGGCUCUGUCACAUGCUUUAGUGGCCCAGACCGGUAUAUUCAGCCUUUUUAUAAAUUAAAUUCAAAAAGAA